AACGACAUUUGCUUUUAAGGGACACACCUCUGACGAACUGCACAUUCUGGACUUCUCAUCCGGACAUACGAUUGUAGCACGUUGGCAAAAAAACAGACAGCGUGACUAUUGGGAAGCCUAAAGGACAGCGUGAGUGUACAUCAAGCAAAUGAGAUUACUGGGCGAACACGAACACUCUCUCAGUGUCAUCCUUUAUUACCACCUUUAACGCAUUUUGGAACCAAAUCUGCAGAUCAUCCAAUGCAGACGUACCCUAGUACUGCCUUCUCACACAUGCAAGCGCGCCGGUGCAUAUUGGCGAUGAUGAUGAAACACCAACUGAGCCAAACAUUUGUGCCUUUUCAGCGACGGUGUCCUGUCCUGCUGUUAGGCGAAAAGCAACAGACGCAUCCCCAAUCCCGUCGUCGUCCA
rnacentral:lncRNA from 7 species